UAUGCUGUAAUUUAUUCUACUUUGAAAAUACAACUAGUUAUUAUGACAUUUCAAAUGAAGAAACCCUGGCUCAAAGAAUUUCAGGACUAUCUAAUAUUGAUUGAAUGAUGUAGUGUCCCAUAAUAUAAAAAAAAAUUAGCACUUUGCACUUCAGUGAUUGGAGACAAGAGGUACUGGAUGCCAAAAUAAAAUUAACAUAUAACUAAAUAAAAAUGCAAGGAGAACUCAGAUUUAUGAAUGAUACCUGCAUAGUGUAAGUGAAUAUUUUUAUAGUAGAAGGCUAACCUUUUGAGAUUGCCGCAAGGAAAAUAAUUGAGAAAUCUUAUAACAUCACCUUCUUGCCUCUCUCAGAGGCAGAAUUCUAAAUAUGCUACAGCCUGAUACACUUCAAAACAAAUAUUUAUCAAGUACCUGUAAUAUACUCAAGAUAGCUGAGCUCAAUUGACUUUUCUAACAAGAAAUCACUGUGCAUAACCAAACACCGUGUUAAAAGUGACUUUCUUCUAUAUCUAAUUGCUCCGCUCUUUCCCAGAAACCUGAAACUAUACUGUAAUGCUACCCACAAGAUCCAUGCCAUGGGACUCUAUUAUAAAUGAAGCCUUGGUACAAUGAGAUUCUCCUAGUAUUGCCAAUAAUAAAUCCCCUUGGAUAAGGUCAAAAACACAUCCACUCCAUCCUGAAUUCUGCAUUCUCCACCGUAUACUGGAAGGCUCCAGCUUUACAUCAUAAAUGUGAAAAAGCUCUGGAUCACAGAAAUUUUCCAAAUACUUCAUCCAUCACUAUAAUGUGGUUACCUCCAGGGGGUGAUUUCAACAGUCGAAGGUGAAAUGGAGCAUAACGGAUUAUCACUUCUUACUAAUUAAUGAUUUCAAUAGCUUAAUUGUACAUUUGGAUGUGAUACAUAUAAAGGGAGAGACUUCAUGUGGACAAACAUCAUAGCCAAGCUGUAACCCAUACAUGCCAUACCAACUACAUGUCCAUCUUUACUCGUGUACUUUAACAGAAUGGUGAUUUAAUCACAAGAGAUCACUCCAGUGGUUACACUUGAAUCCCAACAAGAUGCAGCUGUUAAUGACCAGGUACAGUCAUGAGUCACAAAAUGAUGUUUUGAUCAAUGAUGAAUUGCAUAUAAGUCAAUGGUCCCAUCAGAUUUUAAUGGCACUCAAAAAUUCCUAUUGUAUAGUGACAUCAUAGCCAUCAAAUGUCAUAGCACAAUGCAGGACUCACAGGUUUCUGGUGAUGCUGAUGUGAACAAACCCACUGCACUGCCAGUCGUAUAAAUGUCUAGCACAUAUAAUUCUGUACAACACAUAGUGUUUUGUGAUAAUAAAAAAAUUCUGUUAUUGAUUUUUUGUUUACUAUAA